AGGCUUUGGCGACCGUUUCCGCAGUGAUGUCGGGAAUGGGCACGGCUUCGGGUCAUCGGGUGAAUCGGUCAAUCAUUGUUAGAAUGUACCGGCACUCGUGAGAAGGAAGAAGUGCUCCAACCGAACCAAGAUGGACGUGGUCAAAGCUACAGCGAGGUGGCAAGAGAGACUGCGUGGGAGUCUUCGUGUGGCGGGUCACUUUGGCGGCCUGGCACGCGAGGCAAGAACGUGCCCACUGGCGAACAUCGGUGUCAAUGCUUGGCUGGAUGGAGCGCUGUGUAACGAGGCACUGCGUGGCUCGGUGCUGGGUGGACUGUGGCAAGCGCUGUGAGGGAGAGCACUUUGAACAGCGUACCGUUUGCGUCGAUAUUGCUUGAGCCCAGGAGUCGUCGCAUGCUGUAGAACAGUUGGGAAGGGCGGCGAUCUGCCAGCUCGUCGGAGGUGAGAAGGUGCUGGAGGCGCGCGCUCUCAAACCACGUGGUGUGAUCCAAAAUACUCUGCUUCAGGUGCUGGUACGGGGACUGCUGGUACGUCGUGAACAACCUCAGGAAAUAGGCUGGCAAGUAAGCAGCGACACCGAGAAGUCUCUGAAGUGACGUGGUGCAGAUCGAAGGAGGCUUCGCGCUGGGCGAAGCAAAUUUGUGGGUCCUUGCGCCAGAAUGUGGGCAGGCGAAGCUGUAGAGCUGAGACGUCAUGUGGGCGCGAGGUAGCAUCAGGCAGCCUGAGAGCGGUAGGUUGCUGGUUUCGGUUAUUUCGUAGUCCGGAGUCACCAAUGUCGCGAACUGAGAGGUUGCAGUGGAGCACAAGGACCAGAGGACCAGCGUAGCGGGCUCUUAGAACGGACUAGGGUCUGCCGUGCUUGCGCCGCAAACACGCGCCGCCCAACUUUAUUUUCGUCAUCUUUUUACCAUGCCGACCGAGGGCGCUGACAUUUAGCGUCUGCGUGUAGCGGCGUCGGUGGGCGCUACAAACCCAUACGCAGUGGCACGUACACAAUGCCGAAUUUGUCAUUUAAGGCUACAUACUGCUAUUGCCACAAUAGUACAUACAUUGUGCGGUAUUGGACAAGCGUAGGCACAUACCCUGUAGUGCAUACCCAGUGACACAUACCCAGCAGCACAUGCCCAGUGGCCUAAGUUGUCUGCUCGUCAAGACAGCAGUCACCACAUACCCAGUAGCACAAGUUAUCUAAUAUGUACAUAAAUAUAUCUGGCGAGAAAACGACGAAUGCCAAUCCCAAGGGAAGAAACAAAAAAUAUUCACUUUGAAACCUCAGUCAGCAAAUUCCCAAUGGACGCGGCGCACAAUGUAGGAAGACGGAGAAGCAACGGGGAAUACUUUAGAGGAGGAAAGUGCCGGGAUUGGGUGGAGCAAGCGCUGACGUGACCACUGAAGAAACCUCAAUAAGUGGAAAUGGCACGCUCUCAGCAGAGUGAGCGCACCGGAGUGGACAAUGCGAAAGAUAUAGGAUGAUGGCAUCGCCGCCGGUGCUGCUUAGAGGCAUAACCGCAAUACUGAGGCGAAUAGAAGUCAACCAGCUGUCGAAAUACUUGAGGGACGCAACGCAUUUAUAAAGGUUGUUAGGAUUGCAAAGAGUCGCCUUAAAGACAGCGCUACAGAUGAAGAGAGUGCCUAGCUUUGGAGGCUAAGCGACGGCGUCGACAAGAAGAAGCACAUGAGCAUACGUUGCGUGUGCGUUACCCUUUGCUGAACGUCUGGUAAAAUACUCCAGGGACAUUUAAAGAUACGCUCAGGCGUAGCACCUGUCGGGUUCCGUUGUCAGACUAAACCCGCCUGUUGCUACAAUCCACCACGAACGCCACCAUCACCAUGAAGCUAAACAGUGCACCAAAACCAGGCACACUUCCUUAUACGUCUCAUCCAAGUCUCAAAUGGCGCGCCCUCCAACGUUCUCUUUAAGGUCGCCAAUCAAUUACGAACAGUUCUUAUGAACGAAAAGCUUUAUGAAUUCAGGCCUUGGACAUUCGGUUGUGCCCGGCCUGCAUUGCACGUGGUGCGCCGCAACCUUCACCUCCACUCAGUAUAAUGACGAAGGAGGGCGGCAACUUCGUUUUCUGCCGGCAUAUCUAGCCUUUCAAGGGUUGCUGGCACUUGGCUAAUGUUCAGUGUCCUCGCGCAAACAACUCGUCGUCAAGACCAACGUGUUACGUAAACUCACGCUUAUCUCAUAGGAAAACUUUAUGCCCGACUACAAAAGCCCUUAGCCAUUCCGUGGGCGGCCAUUAGUUAGCGCGAAGAAUAUAUAUUUACGUAUAUUAUAGACCAGGGGUUUGAUUUUGUAGAAAUUCUAUUACGUUUUUUAUGCCUUUUGCCGCCAUCACCCCGCUGUCAUUAGUCGAAAAUGACCGGGCCGCUCCCAUUGAGUCUGUCAAUUACGCGACGUCAGGAACCCGCGAAAACGCGAAACGUUAAAGUCACGUUGACGCAGUCAUCAUGCGGAGCAUAAGGCAUAAUGUAUUGGCACGGCCAAAGGCAGGGUCGUUUCAGAAGGCAUAAAAAAAGGCUACCCUUCUCAUCGCUAUGGCGGUGGCUUUUCACCAUCGACAACGUAGACACGGAGAGCCAGACGACGCGUUUGACCUACCGGAUGACCAUUUUCGACAUCAUAUUCGCCUCUUGAAGGAAACCAUGCGGCUGUUGUGCGAGGAACUGGCGGGGGACUAGAAGUGGAGCAAGCGACGGGACUGUCCGUGGAGCGGAAGGUGUGUGCGUUGCGUUUCUUCUCCAUCGGGAGCUUUCAUGCGUCUGUAGGGAGCGAGGAGACGAUCCACCUACCGCAGUCGACCGUGAGCGAGUGCGUGCGACGCGUGGCAGAGGCUGCCGUAAAUGCAGGGGCCAGCAACAAGUGGGUCAAUUUUCUGAAGAAGUCCGAAGAAAAGGUAGCCAUGACAGAGGGUUUCCAUCGGCGUGGUGCUAUUCCCGGCGUCAUCGGAUGCGUGGUUGGCAGCCUCAUUGCCAUUAUCGCAGCCAAGGGUGAGCGAAAGGCUGCAUUCAUGUACCGCAAGAGAUACUACGCCCUAAACUGCAUGUUCAUCUGCAACGCGGACAUGAGGAUCUUGGUCGUGGACAACAUGGCUGCGCUGGUAGUUACAAGCGAGGCGCAUCGCGCAUCCCGGGGAAUACCACCUCGGCGACAGUGGCUACCUCUUCGAGCCGUGGCUCCUGACCCCAGUUCCUAGCUAUCCUCCAACGCAAACAGCUAAGGGGAAGUACAACACAGCAUAUGCCGCCAUGCGUUCCCUGGUGGAGAGGUGCAUUGGGCUCUUGAAGAGCCGUUUACGCUGUCUGCAGAGGUACCGCACCCUCUUCUACAAGCCGGAACGCGCGGCCAACACUGUCGCGGCAUGUGCUGUUUUUGUUGCACAACCUGCGGCUUCCUGAGGGCGAUGUAGAAUCAGAUGAAGGCAGCAGCAGCAGAAGUAAUAGUAGCGAGCUCGACAAUAACGGCGACCCUAUACCACACGGUCUUCCCCCAAAAAUGGGGUCUAGAAUGAGUUAUUUGAAAGGGCGGUCUGUCCGAGACAGUGUCAUUGCAAUGUUUGGCACAACCCGUGCACAGUACAUGCCUUACUUCAGGAGUGUGCGAUGGCAGUUGCGACGUCAACAGCAACGUGAGCAUCGCUGGUUGCAUACAUGUUGCAGUGUAAGCAAGAUGGGGUAGUCUAACAAAUACGAAAUAAUUGCAUUGUGAAUUUAAAUCUGUUAAAUUGCUGACACAACAUUUUCCACACUCAGUUGUACUUGAUGUCUACGUAAUGCAAAGUAUUCAUGAUUUGUAGAGAAAUGUAAAAGCUGUGUAGCCAAUGGUUAUGCAGAGCUUACAUUUAUAAUAAGUAAAACAGAAUAUUUACUGGUGAGAUAUAAGAUUGGAAAGCAAACUGCAAUUGAGUGUGUUUUAAAAGUCUCUUUUCCAAGAUUGAGCGCAAACUAUAAUUAAGUGUGUUUUAAAAGUGCGCUUGCCAUGAUUUGCCUCCUCCUGCUGCUGCUACUGCUGCUGCUGCCGCCGCCGCCGUCGUCGGCGUCACCUAGACACCCUGUGUGCCUUGGAUACAGCCUGCAGUUUUGUUUUGUAGCUUUUCUUCUUACUGGUGUCGCUGAGAGUUCUCUGGUCCCCUUGUGAAAUGGUGGACAUUAGAGUCUGUCUCUUCGCUUUAUACUCGGGCAGAGAAGCUCGCAAAAGCCAAAAUGUACAGCGCACACCGCACCUUCUCCUCCAUCGAACGUGCUUUUACACGCACCCCUUCUAGUUGCUCCACCAUUUGCCUCACAACAACCGCAAAGUUUGUUCCUAGUGACGAAAAUGCCAUCUGUUACGUUUCGCCUACGACGCGCGGUAUAGCCGGCGCGUAUGCAACGGACGCCGGGGCUUCGUUCAAAGCGGCGGACAUUUUGGCCCGUUCGGAGCUCCCGCAAAGCCUCCCCGCCAAGCGCGUCCAGGCGUGUUUCAGUGCCACGUGUCUUCGUGUGUGCGUGUGUGUGUGUGUGCCCACGCUUGUCAAAGCGCGGCAGCCGGGGAGAGGAGCUCCCCGAGUGUGAAGCGAGGAGGUCUGUCCGGCGCCCGGCCGGCGGAUGCGUCACUACACUCGUCUCAACAUGUCUCUCAGCGUGUCCGUGCCUCGCCGUCACGUGGUCUCGUCACGAGGCCUUCCUCUUGCCCUCGACUCCGAGAGUAUAAGAGCAGCUGCACCCGGACGCCGAGAGAGAGGCUCCGAUUUCUUCUGUCGAGUUACGUGCUCUCCCGUCUCUCACUUCGGUCGACCUGACCGCCCGCUCUUUUGCGAUGUUAGAAUAAACCAGUUGUUCUGUUCCCAGUCGACUCAUGCUUUGCCGGGACCUUCGGAUGCUUCCAGUGCCCCAGGCCGCCAGGCCAACGCUACCCUUGGGGCUUGCGACCCAUUUGCAACAACGGGCGUCAGCACUGAGGUUCCAACAACUCGUGCCAGCGGUGCGAUUCCAACACAUCCAACUGGUCAUCCAACAUGUCAAACGCUGUGGCUCCUGUGAAGUGCGUUCACGCAUGAGCAGUUGAUAGAUUUCAACAAAGUGCCCUGACUUGUAAAAAGCAGAACUCAUUAACUGAAAUGUUGCAUGCUAAUAUUUUUACAGUGCGAAGUAGCUCUGCAAAUGUAGUAGUGACAUGUAAAUAAAAGCAUUA